GAUGAAGAACGCAGCGAAAUGCGAUAAGUAAUGCGAAUUGCAGAAUUCCGUGAGUCAUCGAAUCUUUGAACGCACAUUGCGCCCGCUGGUAUUCCGGCGGGCAUGCCUGUUCGAGCGUCAUUUCAACCCUCAAACCCCCCGGGUUUGGUGUUGGGGAUCGGCUCUGCCUCACGGCGGUGCCGCCCCCGAAAUACAUUGGCGGUCUCGCUGCAGCCUCCAUUGCGUAGUAGCUAACACCUCGCAACUGGAACGCGGCGCGGCCAUGCCGUAAAACCCCAACUUCUGAAUGUUGACCUCGGAUCAGGUAGGAAUACCCGCUGAACUUAAGCAUAUCAAUAAGCGGAGGA
rnacentral:misc_RNA from 1 species